rnacentral:rRNA from 1 species
UAGGAUAGAGGCCUACCAUGGUGGUAACGGGUAACGGGGUGUUAGGGCACGACACCGGAGAGGGAGCCUGAGAAACGGCUACCACAUCCAAGGAUGGCAGCAGGCGCGCAAAUUACCCAAUCCCGACACGGGGAGGUAGUGACAAUAAAUAACAAUACGGGGUUCUCUAGGAUCUCGUAAUUGGAAUGAGUACAAUUUAAAUCUCUUAACGAGGAACAAUUGGAGGGCAAGUCUGGUGCCAGCAGCCGCGGUAAUUCCAGCUCCAAUAGCGUAUAUUAAAGUUGUUGCAGUUAAAAAGCUCGUAGUUGAAUUUCGGGGUUAGUAGGUUGGUCAUGCCUCUGGUAUGUACUGGUCUCACUGAUUCCUCCUUCCUGAUGAGCCGUAAUGCCAUUAAUUUGGUGUUGCGGGGAAUUUGGACUGUUACUUUGAAAAAAUUAGAGUGUUUAAAGCAAGCUAACGCUUGAAUACAUUAGCAUGGAAUAAUGAAAUAGGACGUUCGAUCCUAUUUUGUUGGUUUCUAGGAUCGACGUAAUGAUUAAUAGGGAUAGUUGGGGGCAUUAGUAUUCAAUUGUCAGAGGUGAAAUUCUUGGAUUUAUUGAAGACUAACUACUGCGAAAGCAUUUGCCAAGGAUGUUUUCAUUAAUCAAGAACGAAAGUUAGGGGAUCGAAGACGAUCAGAUACCGUCGUAGUCUUAACCAUAAACUAUGCCGACUAGGGAUCGGAUGAUGUUAAUUUUUUAAUGACUCAUUCGGCGCCUUACGGGAAACCA